rnacentral:snoRNA from 1 species
UGUCAAUGAUUCAUUCACAAUAUUUGCUACUCUCGAUAUGCCUCUGGGCAUUGUGACGACAGUAUUUAAUCACCAAGAUCACUGAGACA